rnacentral:rRNA from 1 species
UACAGAGGUGGCAAGCGUUGUUCGGAAUUACUGGGCGUAAAGGGCGCGUAGGCGGCUUGGUCAGUCCCGUGUGAAAUCCCUCGGCUCAACUGAGGAACUGCACGGGAAACUGCCUGGCUUGAGUUCGGGAGAGGGAAGCGGAAUUCCCGGUGUAGCGGUGAAAUGCGUAGAGAUCGGGAGGAACACCAGUGGCGAAGGCGGCACCCUGGACCAGCACUGACACUGAGGCACGAAAGCGUGGGGAGCAAACAGG